rnacentral:rRNA from 1 species
CCCUAUGGGGUGCACCAGGGACUACCUGUAUUGGUUAAAUAUCGAAUACGGGAACGAUUUCGGUGACGUGUGGAAAACGAUCGGAACGUGGUCGACACAUGACAAUCUUGGUUCGAUCACCGUUCACCCCAGUAUCAAUCAAUCCAUUGAAGUCGAAAUCCAGGUAGGAUGGAGUGAAGUCGUCGUUGCUGUUCUCAAUAUCAAAAAGAAGAUUGAGAUCAAUCAAACAUUGGAUAUCACCAUCCCCGGCUGUAAAGAAACCGCUACCGAAAAAUGGAAAUGGCUCGGUGACUACAUUGGCGAUAAUUCCUGGGUUGACGAGUAUAAUGAGGACAGAUCGACAUUCUUACAUCAUUACAACAUUGUGCCAGGAUACUAUAAUUACUCACCGUUCUUUGGAUCUUUAGAAACAACGACUUGCAGCCAUGGUGUGUGCAAAACUCCGGAACCUGGGUCGCUGUUCUUGUUUGUCGUUGGUGUGAUUGGCGUGGCGGGGGGGC